UUUGUUUAAAAUAGCCCUUCUAUUUCAACCUCACCUUUAAUUUCUUUCAUAUAUUUCUUCAAGGAACGUGUUAUUGGGUAAUUUCUUUCACAUAUUUCUUCAAUGAACGCGUGAUCAUUUAAAUCAAGAAGAAGGAAAAAAAUGCCACAGGCACGUAGCCAUGCAAAGGCUUACUGUGGUGGAAACACAUGCCCAUUGCUCCAUCCUCUAAAACAGCCCUUUUCCUUCCACAAAAAAGCCUCCGUCUGCUUCAAAUAUCAAAUAGCUUUUGACCACCACGUUCACAUGAAGCAGACUUGAAGUGUAGUGAAACUCAAAACCACCACGUUCACAUGAAGAGACUUGAAGUGUAGUGUAACUAAAAACCACAACGUUCACAUUAAGCAGACUUGAAGUGUACUGAAACUCAAAAUUUCUGGGGUUGCACCUCUUUUAACCAUCACGUUCAGCCUCUUUGCUGACUUAAACCGAUUCAAAUAUAUAUAUUUUAUUUGUAUACGCAUAAGUUUGUUUUUAUUUGAUUACGAUAUUAUGGUAGAUUUUGAUUUAUAUUUGGUUUC